GGACAUGAUUGGCUAUGGUGGUGUGAAAUACAUGUUUUUAGUACUCCUCAAUUCAUAUUGUUCAAAUUUCUUAUAAGCAAUGUCUUUUUUUUUUCUGCUAGGAGAUGCAGGUGGAUCACUCUCUACCAGAUCUCGAGGCAAAUAUUGGUCUAUGGUCCUUGCUCUCAGCAACAUCUUCAGUGUCCUGGUGAUGGGGUGCCUUGGAAGGACUGCGCAGAACAAGCUUCAUACCACCUCUGCACUUCAGGCUCUCUGCACUAGGCCGAAAGCUGGGAGCAGGAAGCGGCUGCGCCCUGAUGGCUGUCGUUUCCCCUGCGAGCCCCUCCUGUGUCCUGCCAGCUGCUCUCUGACAGCCACAUCACCCGGGCUUCGGUACCAAGCGGGCACGCCGCUGACUCCCAGCUAGGAAUCCUUCCAGGGCUACCUUCUCUUCACAAGCAAUAAGGUCAGCCUGGGGAAAAAAAAAGUAAUAAUAAUAAAUAAUAACUUAAAAAAAUAACCA
rnacentral:lncRNA from 1 species